UUCUAUUGAAUAAUUCUGUACGCAUAGCAACACUCUUUUAAUUUAUAGCACUGAGACUUUAAAUGUGAUACUUGCAUUAUAGCUAUAAGUCAUAGAGUUCCUUAUCUAGUUAGUUUGAAUAAAAGUGAAGUUCAUUUUGCUUUAAUACAUUCAGAUGUGUGAGAACCUUCCCUAAUAACUACUUAUCUAAUCAUUGAUGGUUUGUGAUCUUUAUUAACGAUUGUAGUGGAAUGACAUGACUUUAUUCGCUGAAAAAUAAAGAUGAAGUGUUUGGUAUGUUUCAAUCCUUUCAUGUCAUGGUUAAGGCACAAUUUUCAGCUAAGAUCCAGGUCCUUCGUACUGACAAUUGCUGUAAAUAUGUCAGCCAACAAUUUAAAUCAUAGUUUUAAAACCAUGAUCUUCUUCAUGAAACCUCAUGUUCUCAGAUUCCACAAAAGAACGACAAUGUCGAGAAAGAGAAUCGACAUAUAAUAGAAUCUACAUGGGCUUUGCUGAUCGAGGCACAUGUAUCUCAUUGCCAUUGGGAUGAUGCUGUCGCCACGAUAGUACAUCUCUUGAAUCACAUGCCUUCGAAAAUCUUAAACUUUGAGACUCCUUUGCAUGUUCUUUCUACCCAUGUACCAUUGCCACUAUUUUAAUGAUUCCUUCCUGAAUUUUUGGUCGGGUCGUCCUUGUUAAUCUUCAUAAGAAUCAAUGUAAUAAGUUGAACUGAUGUGAAAUUCGUUGUCUAGUUGUGGGGUAAGGGUAUUGGUGCUAUGACCUCGUCACCAAAGAAACCUGCAUUACUAUGGAUGUUACCUUUCUCGAGGCAAACACAGUCUUUCCAUCACCAACAUCCAAUUCAACUCUUCAAGGGGAGCUUGGAGAUAGAGAGAAAAAUUAGUUGGAUGUUGAAUGGCCAGGAUUUGAAAACAAUUCAACAUAAUAAAGAGAUGGAAAAAAAAAAUGAUAGAUCAGAAUAUGGAGAACUUUCCGGGAGUUGGAAUAACUUAAGGAGCUUAUAUGACUCCAAAGGCUGAACAUAUAUCUUUGGAAUUGAAAAAUAUUGAGUUGAAGGAAUCCUUUGUUAAUGAAUUUUCUUAUUCUUCAGCACUCGAAAGCCCAGCUCCUAAGAGUAUUCUUGAGGUAAGCUCUCCUAUCACAUCUUCACAUAUUGAUGCUUUGGAUACUUCUACGAGUUAUGUUUUACCCUUUAGACAUAAUCGUGGCAAGCUACCAAGUCGGUACUAUCCAUACGUAGAAAGAAAAAAAAAAAAUCCAAGUAUUCGAUUGCUAAUUUUAUAUCUACUUAACGAUUAUCUGAAUCUCUCAAGGCAUUUGCACAUCAAUUAUCUUUCUGCUAUAUUCCCAAUAACGUUGAAAAUGCUUUACCAAAUCCAAGAUGUGCUCAAGCCAUAAAGGAAGAAUUGGGGGCUCAGUGGAAAAAUAACACCUGGAAGUUAGUUUUACUACCUAAAUGAAAGAAUGCAAUGGGAUGCAAAUGGGUUUUCACCAUUAAUACAACGUUGAUGGGUCCAUUGAUCGACAUAAGGCAAGGCUCGUGACAAAAGAAUAUACACAAAUAUACGGUAUAUAUUACCAAGAGACUUUCUCACCAGUGGUUAAAUUAAACACUGUUAGAGUUUUAUUAUCUCUUAUAGUAAAUUUAGAUUUGCCAUUGCACUUAUUCAACAUAAAGGAUGCCUUCCUCCAUAGCGACCUCAAAUAAGAUGUUUACAUGGACAUUCCACCAAGGUACAAUGCAUCUUCAGAGGUGAAAAUUGUGUGUAAGUUGCAACGAGCUUUGUAUGAAUUGAAACAAUCACCUCAGGCAUGGUUUGGUCGAUUUAGCUCGACUAUGAGAAAAUAUGACUUCCAACGGAGCAAUUCGGACCACACUCUAUUCUUAAAACAUUUAUUAAGAAAAGAAAUAACUCUAAUAGUCUAUGUAGAUGAUAUAACUAUUACAGUGGAUGAUGCUGAAGAGAUCUCUAGACUUCAAGACCAAAUUAACCAAAUUUGAGAUGAAGAACCUGGGAGAUUAAGACACGGCAUAUUUCUUUCUCAAAGAAAAUAUAUAUUAGACUUGAUGUUCGAAGUGGGAUUAUUCAAGUGUAAAUCGGUCGGUACUCCAAUUGUUCAGAAUCAUAAACUUGGAAAAUAUAGGGAUCAGGCACCAGUCAAUAAAGAGAGGUACUAAAGACUAGUUGGCAAGCUCAUUUACUGUUCUCUUAUGCUCCCGAAUAUUGCUUAAGCUGCAAGUAUAGUGCUCCAAUUUAUGUACUGCCCUAGUAAAGAGCAUAUAUAUGUAGUAAUUCAUAUUCAUCCCUAUUUGAAGUCCUAUCCUAGAAAAUGGCUUAUGUUCUCCAAGAAUAAGAUGUUGACUGAGCAGGAAAUAUAUCGAAUAGAAAGUCUACUUUUGGCUACUUUACCUUUGUCGGGGGCAACCUUGUUACAUGGAGAAGCAAAAGCAAAAGGUAGUAGUAUUAUCAAGUGCUAAAGGAGAAUUUCAGGGAACGGUGAAAGGUUUUUGUGAACUAUUUUGGCUCAAAAUGUUGUUAAUUGAGAUUGGCUUUGCAUUUAGCUCUGAAAUGUACUUAUUUCAGGAUAACAAGGCAGCCACAGUCAUUUCCCAUAAUUCCGUCCAACAUGAUUGUACUAACCAUGUUGAUGUUGAUGAGCACAUCAUCGAACAGAAUCUUGACGAAAAAGUUGUUUGGUUCCCUUUGUCAAGGCAGAAGACCAGUUGGUGGACAUACUCACGAAGAUCGAGUCUAGCAAUAACUUCUACAACUCACUCGACAAGUUAAGCAUUAAAGAUCUUUAUGUACCAACUUGAGGGGAGUGUUGAUUUGAGCUAUUAACAGAGAAUAGGAUAGAGAUAAUAUAGGAACCCUUUAAUUGUAAAAUCCCACACUUUAAGGGAUACCCAUAAUUCUAGCCUUAGACAAUGUAUAGCCUAUAAUAGCUUCCUAAACUUCCUCUCUGUAUCUAUAUAUCGUGUACUCAAUCUGCAGA
rnacentral:lncRNA from 1 species